ACGGGAGGCAGCAGCUAAGAAUAUUCCGCAAUGGACGAAAGUCUGACGGAGCGACACCGCGUGGGUGAUGGAGGCCGGAAGGUUGUAAAACCCUUUUAGAAGUGAGGAAGUUCCUUGGGAGGUAAUGCUCGGGGAGUGACGGUAACUUGUGAAUAAGCAACGGCUAAUUACGUGCCAGCAGCCGCGGUAACACGUAAGUUGCGAGCGUUGUUCGGAAUCAUUGGGCGUAAAGGGCAUGUAGGCGGUUUGCUAAGCGGGGAGUGAAAUCCCGAGGCUCAACCUCGGGGCUGCUCCCCGAACUGGUAAACUUGAGUCACCGAAGCGUAAUCGGAAUUCCAGGUGUAGGGGUGAAAUCUGUAGAUAUCUGGAAGAACACCAGUGGCGAAGGCGGAUUACGGGCGGAUGACUGACGCUGAGGUGCGAAGGUGCGGGGAGCGAACAGGAUUAGAUACCCUGGUA
rnacentral:rRNA from 1 species